AUUGAACGCUGGCGGCAGGCUUAACACAUGCAAGUCGAGCGAGCGGCGGACGGGUGAGUAAUGUCUGGGAACCUGCCUGAUGGAGGGGGAUAACUACUGGAAACGGUAGCUAAUACCGCAUACCAUCAGAUCGGCCCAGAUGGGAUUAGCUAGUGGGUGGGGUAAUGGAUCACCUAGGCGACGAGCCCUAGCUGGUCUGCGAGGAUGACCAGCCACACGGGAACUGAGACACGGUCCAGACGCCUAGGCGAGGUAGCAGUGGGGAAUAUUGGACAAUGGGCGAAAGCCUGAUGCAGCCAUGCCGCGUGUAUGAAGAAGGCCUUGUGGUUGUAAAGUACUUUCAGCGGGGAGGCGUUACCCGCAGAAGAAGCACCGGCUAACUCCGUGCCAGCAGCCGCGGUAAUUC
rnacentral:rRNA from 1 species